rnacentral:lncRNA from 1 species
CUCACCUGUGAAAUGGGGAUCAGUUCUCUGCUCUCUCCUCCCCCGGAGACUGGGAGGCCUCUGUGGGCCAGAGGGGGUGUGCAGCCCGUCUCGUUCGGUCAGUUGUAUUGAUUGAGCGCUCACUGUGUGUAGAGCACUGUACUAAGCACUUGGGUGAGUCCAAUAGAACAAUAAACAGACACAUUCCCUGCCCGCAACGAGCUCACCGUCUCCGCACGGACGCUCGGCACAGAACUGGGCGAUCCGGACCCGUUCUGAUUAUCACCGGGGAGGAAGUGUGGGGUCUCGAGAGCGUCCUCGGUCCAGGGCCCCAAGCGCUUGUAAACAGAUACCUUCCCUGUCUACAACGAGCUUACAGUCUAGAGGGGGAGGCAGGCAUUAAUUGAAAUAAAUAAACAGAGAUAAAUAGAAAUAGAGAUUAAUAGAAAUAAAUAUACGGACAUAAGUGCUGUGGGGCUGCACAAGGGGUGCAUGAAUAAAGGGGUGCCCUGGAUGACAUCACUGGGGUGAGGUCGAGGGGCAGAUCAGAGGGGCUGCAGCCCCUGGAAAAGGGCGUCGUGCAGCUCCACCGGAGUCCACCAGGCUGCAGCCUGGACGGAGCAGGUCAGUUCAUUCAAUCCUAUUUAUUGAGUGCUUACUGUGUGCAGAGCACUGUACCGAGCCCUUGGGAGAGGACGCUAGAACAAUAACAGACACCCUCCCCGCCCACAACGAGCUUACCGGGCCACCGACCCCACAGCGGAAGAGAGAGGACAAUGGACUUCGAGCCCCGAAUCCGUGGACUUCGGCAGAGUCCGCUGUGUGACCUGGGGUCCUCAGGUCUCCGGUCGCCGAGAGGCACCUACUCGGUCGGGAACGGCUCCGGCCGAGAGCGGGCAUCAUCGGUCCCGGGCAUCGGCCCCAGGCCGGCGCCGGGAAGACCUCCCCAUCUGUGGGCCGAGGGGUCCACCUCCCCGCCGAGACCGCCCCAGUGGACUCCUGCCCCCCGGCUGGGCUUCGUUUCCAUUCCCGUCGAUCCAGCUGUUGGCAAGCUUCCGUCGUGAGCCGCUCAGAGCCGCUGGAUGUUCACUGAAGUUCCUGAUCCAGACGAAGUUCCAGGAGCCGCUCAACCUCAUCGGUUGGGGCGACGUGGCUUAGCCAACGAUGACCCUCGCGGGUGAGGACGGCCGGGUUCCGCGUCGUCGGUCAGUCGGUCGUAUUUAUUGAGCACUUACCGUGUACAGACCACUGUACUAAAUGGUUGGGAGAAUACAAUAGAACGGUGUAACCAAAACAUUCCCUGCCCACAACAAACUUAUAGCCUAGAGGGGGAGACGGAUGUUAAUAUAAACGAAUAAAUGACAGAUAUGGGCAUAAGUGCUGUAGGGCCGGAGGGGAUGAACGAAGGG